CCCUUAGAUGCCCGGGGCUGCACGCGCGCUACACUGAAGGAAUCAGCGUGCUAAAACCAUUGUCGAAAGGCAUUGGUAAACCCAUUAAAAUCCUACGUGAUUGGGAUCGGGAAUUGCAAUUAUUUCCCUUGAACGAGGAAUUCCCAGUAAGUGUGGGUCAUAAGCUCGCGUUGAUUACGUCCCUGCCCUUUGUACACACCGCCCGUCGCUGCCCGGGACUGAGCCGUUUCGAGAAAAGCGGGGACUGCUGCUGUCGGGGCUUUCGGGCCUUGGCUUCGGUGGAAACCGCUUUAAUCGCAGUGGCUUGAACCGGGCAAAAGUCGUANCA
rnacentral:rRNA from 1 species